AGUUAAUGAACUUGAAAUAAGUAUGUACUUUGAAAGUAUAAAAUAGAAAUAAUAUUUUCUAUUAACUU
rnacentral:tRNA from 1 species